rnacentral:rRNA from 1 species
GUGCCAUUGAUACUGGAUGACUUGAGUGAGAUUGAGGUAGCUGGAAUGGAUAGUGUAGCGGUGAAAUGCUUAGAUAUUAUCCAGAACACCAUUGCGUAGGCAAGUUACUAAUCGCAACUGACGCUGAUGCACGAAAGUGUGGGUAUCAAACAGGAUUAGAUACCCUGGUAGUCCACACUGUAAACGAUGAUACUCGAUGUUGGCGAUACACAGCCAGCGUCUUAGCGAAAGCGAUAAGUAAUCCACCUGGGGAGUACGCCCGCAAGGGUGAAACUCAAAGGAAUUGACGGGGGCCCGCACAAGCGGUAAUCGAA